UUAUUCACAAUUUUAUUUUGCAUUUGACUCAUUUUAUACAUAAAAAAAUGUGAACUAUUCGGAAGAAUAUAAAUUCGAAUUUUGACGAGUGAUUUUUAUCAAAUUUUAUUUAUAUUUAUGGUUUGGUUAAAUUUAGAGGUUAGUGUCGAUUUCAUCUAGUGGAUGGUUGGUUUGAACUCACGUCCUUCAACCUCCUGAUCCUGGGAUUGAAAUGGAGAGUUAAGCCAGAGAUUUAGAGGUUGUUUCUUUUUUCUGUUUCUCAUGCAAAAUUGUUAUGCAGAUCAUUAAGAGGUGAAACAAGAAAUAUGAAUGAUGCAAGAACAAGAACUUUUGGUGCGGUGGUGAGAGUUUCCGGUACGAAGGAAUGGGAAGAACCUACAAGGUUAAUAUUUCAACUCUCAAAUCAUUGAAGUUUUAGAAAUGUAGUUUGAGAAUGAGAAUGAGAUAAUACACAUAUUCAGCGUGUGGUGAGGUUUAUAUGCCUCAUGUGGUUGGAAUUUCCUCGUCUACUCUGACGUGUGACGCGGGAGUCGUUUGAUCGCAUCCAACAACAAGGGAUGUUUGGGGUUAGGAUCAUGUAUUUCGCGUCUCGAGGAAGCUUCAUGUGUCCAUUUGUCUUGCUUGGCAAAGUCCUAGAUUGGACCUUCAUAAUUGGGCAUGUCGCCUCUUUGGCGAAAGAACUUGGUGAAUGUGAGUAGGUAGCCUUGAGAACAUGCACAUUAAAUAUCACUUUCGUUAGUGAAACAUUUUUGUAACAUUAUUCUUAUGUGUGGCUUUGGGUCCCUAGAGUAAGGGCUGGAAAUGUUGUUCACUGUGCUCGAGUGAAUUCGAGUGCCAUUAUGAUCUCAAGGUUGAUAUUCCAUUGUUGAUU